rnacentral:lncRNA from 1 species
CCAUCUCUCCCUCUCCUAGUCUCCUAAUUUUCUAAACGGGCGAACGGCUAAGCCUCCUCACCUCCUCGGCUCCUCUCCAACUCCAAGACAGACUCCAAGUCUCCAACCAUCCUCCAUUCCUCCUCCCGGCGGCCGGCGCUGUGCUUCUCUUCUUUCUCAUCGUCCUCCUCCAUUCCUUCUCCCGGCGGCCGGCGCGGUGCUUCUCUUCUUUCUCAUCGUCCUCCUCCAUUCCUUCUCCCAG